rnacentral:tRNA from 1 species
GCCCUGGUGGCUUAGUGGUAUAGCGUCGCAUUGGUAAUGCGGAGGUCGCGAGUUCAAUUCUCGCCCAGGGCU